rnacentral:lncRNA from 1 species
GGCUGGAGUCCAAAAACUUCAGUGUUGUUACUUGUGUUGCACAAUUAUAUUUACAUUUUCUCCACAGCUGCCUUAAGCUUUUUUUAUUUCCUCCAUAGGUUCCUUAACAUUCAUUAACUGCAUCAACGUGAAGCGGGGAACCAGAGUGCAGGAUAUUUUCACAUAUGCCAAGAUUUUGACCCCUCAUCCUGAUCAUAUCUGUGGGUAUCUACAAAAUUUGUAAAGGAGAAACAGAUAAUUUUAAGGAUCCAUUUGAAGGUUCCACCAGUGACCCAGGACCUAUGGCACAAGCUCUGUACUCAGCUCUUUUUUCCUAUUCUGGAUGGGAUACACUGAAUCUUAUCACUGAGGAAAUGAAGAAUCCUGAAAGACAUUUGGUAAUAAGGUCUUCAACUAUGCUCAGUGGCUAAUUCCUCUUGCAGUCGCCAUGUCUGGUUUCAGUGGAUUAAAUUCAUCAAUCAUUGCAGCUUCCAGGUAGGAAAAGCUCAAGGUGUCCACAAAAUGCCACCCUUACCUGCCUCCCCUAGCCUUUGGGGAUCUUGCCCUUACCUGAACCUUUAACCUAUUGUUUAUACUUAUUUUUGUUAUUCUAAUUUAGUGCAGUUGUUUGUCAGUUCCCACACAUAUAGAGACUCCUCCUCUCUCCAAAUCUACUAGGAGAGCAAUCACCUCCUCAUUUAUCUUUCCAUCUCUCUAACAGGUAGCAGUACCUUGAACAAAAUGGGCAUUUACUAGAACUUGAAUAUCCCCAGUAAGGUUUUUUGUUUUGUUUUUAAAGCUAAUCUAACAGAAAUUGACAGCUCCUAAUAUUGCAUCACAUUAACUGAACAAAAAGGGGCAAAGCACAU